AGAGUUUGAUCCUGGCUCAGGAUGAACGCUAGCUACAGGCUUAACACAUGCAAGUCGAGGGGCAGCAUAAAAGUUUGCUUGCAAACUUUUGAUGGCGACCGGCGCACGGGUGAGUAACACGUAUCCAACCUGCCUCAUACUCGGGGAUAGCCUUUCGAAAGAAAGAUUAAUACCCGAUGUCAUAGUCCUACCGCAUGAUGGGAUUAUUAAAGAAUUUCGGUAUGGGAUGGGGAUGCGUUCCAUUAGUUAGUUGGCGGGGUAACGGCCCACCAAGACAACGAUGGAUAGGGGUUCUGAGAGGAAGGUCCCCCACAUUGGAACUGAGACACGGUCCAAACUCCUACGGGAGGCAGCAGUGAGGAAUAUUGGUCAAUGGACGAGAGUCUGAACCAGCCAAGUAGCGUGAAGGAUGACUGCCCUAUGGGUUGUAAACUUCUUUUAUAUGGGAAUAAAAUGUUCCACGUGUGGGAUUUUGUAUGUACCAUAUGAAUAAGGAUCGGCUAACUCCGUGCCAGCAGCCGCGGU
rnacentral:rRNA from 1 species